CGGAGGGGGCAAGCGUUGUUCGGAAUUACUGGGCGUAAAGGGCGCGUAGGCGGCCCGCUAAGUCGAACGUGAAAUCCCCGAGCUCAACUCGGGAACUGCGUCCGAUACUGGCGGGCUUGAAUCCGGGAGAGGGAUGCGGAAUUCCAGGUGUAGCGGUGAAAUGCGUAGAUAUCUGGAGGAACACCGGUGGCGAAGGCGGCAUCCUGGACCGGCAUUGACGCUGAGGCGCGAAAGCUAGGGGAGCAAACGGGAUUAGAUACCCCGGUAGUCCUAGCCCUAAACGAUGAAUGCUUGGUGUGGCGGGUAUCGAUCCCUGCCGUGCCGAAGCUAACGCAUUAAGCAUUCCGCCUGGGGAGUACGGUCGCAAGGCUG
rnacentral:rRNA from 1 species